GAUGAAUGCUGGCGGCGUGCCUAACACAUGCAAGUCGAGCGGCAGCGAAGGGUGCUCGCACCCUGUCGGCGAGCGGCGGACGGCUGAGUAACGCGUGGGAAUCUACCCUAAAGUGAGGGAUAACCGCCCGAAAGGGUGGCUAAUACCGCAUAUGAUCUUCGGAUUAAAGGAUUUAUCCGCUUUAGGAAGAGCCCGCGUUAGAUUAGGUAGUUGGUAGGGUAAUGGCCUACCAAGCCAACGAUCUAUAGCUGGUCUGAGAGGAUGAUCAGCCAGACUGGAACUGAGACACGGUCCAGACUCCUACGGGAGGCAGCAGUGAGGAAUCUUCCACAAUGGGCGAAAGCCUGAUGGAGCAACGCCGCGUGAAGGAUGAAGGCCCUCGGGUUGUAAACUUCUUUUAUGAGUGAAGAAUAUGACGGUAACUCAUGAAUAAGCACCGGCUAACUACGUGCCAGCAGCCGCGGUCAUACGUAGGGUGCAAGCAUUAUCCGGAGUGACUGGGCGUAAAGAGUUGCGUAGGCGGUUUAAUAAGUGAAUAGUGAAACCUGGUGGCUCAACCAUACAGACUAUUAUUCAAACUGUUAAACUCGAGAGUGGUAGAGGUAACUGGAAUUUCUAGUGUAGGAGUGAAAUCCGUAGAUAUUAGAAGGAACACCAAUGGCGUAGGCAGGUUACUGGACCAUUUCUGACGCUAAGGCACGAAAGCGUGGGGAGCGAACUGGAUUAGAUACCCAGGUAGUCCACGCCGUAAACGAUGGAUACUAGCUGUUGGAGGUAUCGACCCCUUCAGUAGCGAAGCUAACGCGUUAAGUAUCCCGCCUGUGGAGUACGGCCGCAAGGCUAAAACAUAAAGGAAUUGACGGGGACCCGCACAAGCGGUGGAUCAUGUUCUUUAAUUCGAUGAUAAACGAAGAACCUUACCAGGGUUUGACACCCCGAGAAGAUUUACGAAAGUAGAUUGUGCCUUUUGGAACUCGGUGACAGAUGAUGCAUGGCCGUCGUCAGCUCGUGUCGUGAGAUGUUUGGUUAAGUCCAUCAACGAGCGCAACCCUUGUGAAUAGUUGAAUUUUUCUAUUCAGACUGCCCCGGCAACGGGGA
rnacentral:rRNA from 1 species